GAAAGUAAGCAAGGGCAGACGGUGGAUGCCUUGGCUCUCGGAGGCGACGAAGGACGUGAUAAGCUGCGAAAAGCCCGGGGGAGGCGCAAAUAGCCGUUGAUCCCGGGAUAUCCGAAUGGGGCAACCCGGCAGGCUGAAGGCCUGCCAUCCCGUAAGGGAGGCGAACGUGGGGAACUGAAACAUCUAAGUACCCAUAGGAGGAGAAAAUAAACAAUGAUUCCGUAAGUAGUGGCGAGCGAACACGGAAGAGCCCAAACCCAUGUCGUCUAGGCGACACGGGGGUUGUAGGACCACGACGUGGCAAGAAGGAAGGGAAAUGGAACGACUUGGAAAAGUCGGCCAUAGACGGUGAAAGCCCGGUACAUGACUCCCUUACGAAGCCUAGUGGUAUCCUGAGUAGCGCGGGGCACGAGAAAUCUUGCGUGAAGCAGCGGGGCCCAUCCCGUAAGGCUAAAUACUCCCGAGAGACCGAUAGCGAACCAGUACCGUGAGGGAAAGGUGAAAAGAACCCCGAGCAGGGGAGUGAAAUAGACCCUGAACCCGUCUGCCUACAAGCGGUCGGAGCGUCGUAAUGACGUGACGGCGUGCCUUUUGCAUAAUGAACCUACGAGUUACCUUCCCCGGCAAGGUUAAGUUCUUGAGGAACGGAGCCGAAGCGAAAGCGAGUCUGAACAGGGCGCCAAGUCGGGGGGGGUAGACGCGAAACCGAGUGAUCUACCCUUGGCCAGGUUGAAGGUUGGGUAACACCAACUGGAGGACCGGAUGGGUAAGCGUUGAAAAGCUUUCCAAUGAGCUGAGGGUAGGGGUGAAAGGCUAAUCAAACUCGGAGAUAGCUCGUACUCCCCGAAAUGCAUUUAGGUGCAGCCUCUUUAUAGUAUAUCGUGAGGUAGAGCGACUGAUUGGAUGCGAGGGCUUCACCGCCUAUCAAGUCCAGAUAAACUCCGAAUGCGCGAUAUAUAUUUACAGGGAGUGAGGGCGCGGGUGCUAAGGUCCGUGUCCGAGAGGAGAAGAAUCCAGACCACCGGCUAAGGCCCCCAAAUGAUCGUUAAGUUGAACUAACGAGGUCGGAUCGCAGAGACAGCUAGGAUGUUGGCUUGGAAGCAGCCAUUCAUUUAAAGAGUGCGUAACAGCUCACUAGUCGAGCGAUCUGGCGUGGAUAAUAAUCGGGCAUAAACGAUCUGCCGAAGCCGUGGAUGUCGCAAGACAUGGUAGGGGAGCAUUCCAUGCCGCGUCGAAGAUGAGGGAUGACCCUUGUUGGAGCGCAUGGAAAAGCAAAUGUAGGUAUGAGUAACGAUAAGGGGGGCGAGAAACCCCCCCGCCGAAAGACCAAGGUUUCCUGAUCAACGCUAAUCGGAUCAGGGUGAGUCGGGACCUAAGGCAAAGCCGAACGGCGCCGCCGAUGGAAGAAUGGGUUAAUAUUCCCAUACUGCCUCAUGGAGUGACGUGGAGACGGAGAAGUGACAGUCCUGCCGGCUGACGGAAUAGCCGGUUGAAGGGUGUAGAUAUUGAUUCCCGUAGGCAAAUCCGCGGGGAGAGUCGAACCUGAGAGUAUACGGAGCGCUUGCGCAACGUAAUAUGGACGUAACCAUGCUCCCGAGAAAAUCCGCUAAACUUAUCCAUGCGGCACCCGUACCGUAAACGGACACACGUGGUCGGGUUGAGAAUACUGAGGCGCUCGAGUGAUUCACGGUUAAGGAACUAGGCAAAUUGACCCUGUAACUUCGGGAUAAAGGGUCCUCGUCGUAAGGCGAGGCGCAGAGAAUAGGUCCAGGCAACUGUUUAACAAAAACACAUGGCUGUGCUAAAUGGAAACAUGAUGUAUACAGCCUGACACCUGCCCGGUGCCGGAAGGUUAAGAGGAGAUGUCAUCCGCGAGGAGAAGCGUUGAAUUGAAGCCCCGGUAAACGGCGGCCGUAACUAUAACGGUCCUAAGGUAGCGAAAUUCCUUGUCGGGUAAGUUC
rnacentral:rRNA from 1 species